CCUACGGGAGGCAGCAGUGGGGAAUAUUGCACAAUGGGGGGAACCCUGAUGCAGCGACGCCGCGUGAGUGAUGAAGGAUUUCGGAACGUAAAGCUCUAUCAGCAGGGAAGAAAAUGACGGUACCUAACCAACAAGCCCCGGCUAACUCCGUGCCAGAAACCGCGGGCAUACGGAGGGGGCAAGCGUUAGCCGGUUUUACUGGGUGUAAAGGUAGCGGAGACGGUUAUGCAAGUCUCAGGUGAAAGCCCAAGGCUCAACCAGGGGACUGCUUUGGAAACUGGAAAACUGGAGUGCAGGAGAGGUAAGCGGAAUUCCUGGUGUAGCGGUGAAAUCCGUAGAUAUUAGGAGGAACAUCAGUGGCGAAGGCGGCUUACUGGACCGUAACUGACGUUGAGGCGCGAAGGCGUGGGGAGCAAACAGGAUUAGAUACCCGGGUAGUC
rnacentral:rRNA from 1 species